ensembl:snoRNA
CUGCAGGCUCCAGCAUGGGGGGGCCUGGCGUGGCCCCUGCCAUUCCUGUAGCGCUGCCAGAGCAUCCCGGGGCCGUUUGAGGCCGCUCCCGGCGCCUCCCGGGGGCGGUCAUAGAAUCCUCGGACAUGC